UACGGAGGAUCCAAGCGUUAUCCGGAAUCAUUGGGUUUAAAGGGUCCGUAGGCGGUUUGGUAAGUCAGUGGUGAAAGCCCAUCGCUCAACGGUAACGGCCAUUGAUACUGCCAGACUUGAAUUAUUAGGAAGUAACUAGAAUAUGUAGUGUAGCGGUGAAAUGCUUAGAGAUUACAUGGAAUACCAAUUGCGAAGGCAGGUUACUCCUAAUGGAUUGACGCUGAUGGACGAAAGCGUGGGUAGCGAACAGG
rnacentral:rRNA from 1 species